UCGCCCAUUAAAGAGGUACGCGAGCUGGGUUCAGAACGUCGUGAGACAGUUCGGUCCCUAUCCGCUGUGGGCGUUGGAGAUUUGAGUGGGGCUGUCCUUAGUACGAGAGGACCGGGACGGACUUGCCUCUGGUGCACCAGUUGUCUUGCCAAAGGCACAGCUGGGUAGCUACGCAGGGACGGGAUAAGCGCUGAAAGCAUCUAAGUGCGAAGCCCUCCACGAGAAGAGAUCUCCCCCAAUUAUGGUAAGGCCCGUGAGAGACUAUCACGUUGAUAGGUCGGAGGUGUAAGUGUAGUAAUACAUUCAGCUGACCGAUACUAAUAGGCCGAAAGCUUGGCCG
rnacentral:rRNA from 1 species